GAAAGUAAAGAAGGGCGCAUGGCGGAUGCCUUGGCUCUCGGAGGCGAUGAAGGACGUGAUAAGCUGCGAUAAGCUUUGGGGAGGUGCAAAUGACCUUUGAUCCAGAGAUUUCCGAAUGGGACAACCCAAUAUCUUGAAGAGGUAUUAUCCAACGUUGUUGGAGGCUAACGCAGGGAACUGAAACAUCUUAGUACCUGCAGGAAAAGAAAAUAAACAAUGAUUCCCCCAGUAGUGGCGAGCGAACGGGGAACAGCCCAAACCAUCCAUGUUACGGCAUGGGUGGGGUUGUAGGACUACGCCGUUGCAUGAAGACAUCAGAGAAGAACUUUCUGGAAAGAAAGACCAUAGAGCAUGACAGUUGCGUAUUCGAAUGUUGUCGAAGCAUAGUAGUAUCCUGAGUAGCGCGGAGCACGAGGAAUUCUGCGUGAAUCUGCCGGGACCAUCCGGUAAGGCUAAAUACUCCCGAGAGACCGAUAGCGAACCAGUACUGUGAAGGAAAGGUGAAAAGCACUUCGAAUAGAAGAGUGAAAUAGUCCCUGAAACCAUGCGCCUACAAGCGGUCGGAGCAGCUUAAGCUGUGACGGCGUGCCUUUUGCAUAAUGAACCUACGAGUUACUUUUUCCGGCAAGGUUAAGGAUCUUGAGAUCCGCAGCCGAAGCGAAAGCGAGUCUUAACAGGGCGAUUAGUCGGAAGGAGUAGACGCGAAACCAAGUGAUCUACCCUUGGUCAGGUUGAAGGUUAGGUAACACUAACUGGAGGACCGAACCGAUAAGCGUUGAAAAGCUUCCGGAUGAGCUGAGGGUGGGGGUGAAAGGCUAAUCAAACUUGGAGAUAGCUCGUACUCCCCGAAAUGCAUUUAGGUGCAGCCUUGCGGGUUACUGAUGUGAGGUAGAGCGACUGAUAAGAUGCGAGGGCUUCACCGCCUAUCAAGUCUUGACAAACUCCGAAUGCGCAUCAGUUCUACCGCAGGAGUGAGGGCAUGGGUGCUAAGGUCCGUGCCCGAGAGGAGAAGAAUCCGGACCACCUGCUAAGGUCCCGAAAUGACAGCUAAGUUAAACUAACGAAGUCUGACUGCUAAGACAGCUAGGAUGUUGGCUUGGAAGCAGCCAUUCAUUUAAAGAGUGCGUAACAGCUCACUAGUCGAGGAGUCCGGCGUGGAUAAUACUCGGGCAUAAACUGUUUACCGAAGCUAUGGAUGUAGAAAUACAUGGUAGGGGAGCAUUCCAACGGCGUCGAAGGUGAAGGAUGACCUUUGCUGGAGCUUUUGGAAACGCAAAUGUAGGUAUAAGUAACGAUAAAGGAGGUGAGAAACCUCCUCGCCGAAAGACUAAGGUUUCCUGAUCAACGUUAAUCGGAUCAGGGUAAGUCGGGACCUAAGGUUAAGCCGAACGGCGAUACCGAUGGAAGAAUGGUUUAAUAUUCCCAUACUACUUUAUGGAGCGAUGUGGAGACGGAGAAGUGAAAGUCCUGCCAUCUGACGGAAUAGGUGGUUGAAGAGUGUAGAUGUAGAUUCCUGUAGGCAAAUCCGCAGGGAGAGUCGACCUUGAUAGUAUGCCGCGUGCUUGCACAAGGCAAAAUGGACGUAAUCAGGCUCCCAAGAAAAUCCGCUAAGCAUAUUCAUAAAGUACCCGUACCGUAAACGGACACACGUAGUUGGGUUGAAAAUACUGAGGCGCUCGAGUGAUUCACGGUUAAGGAACUAGGCAAAUUGACCCUGUAACUUCGGGAUAAAGGGUCCCAACGAGAGUUGGGCGCAGAGAAUAGGUCCAGGCAACUGUUUAACAAAAACACAGGGCUGUGCCAAAUUGAAAGAUUACGUAUACAGCCUGACACCUGCCCGGUGCUGGAAGGUUAAGAGGAGAUGUCAUCGCAAGAGAAGCAUUGAAUUGAAGCCCCAGUAAACGGCGGCCGUAACUAUAACGGUCCUAAGGUAGCGAAAUUCCUUGUCGGGUAAGUUCCGACCUGCACGAAUGG
rnacentral:rRNA from 1 species